ACGGGUAUAUCACGUUGAAAUACAGGUUCCCAUACGAUUACCAGAGUUAAACAACGUCGAGCCUGGUCAGUACCUAGAUGGGUGACCGCUUGAGAAUACCAGGUGCUGUAA